AUUGAACGCUGGCGGCAGGCCUAACACAUGCAAGUCGAACGAGUGGCGGACGGGUGAGUAAUGUCUGGGAAAAUGCCUGAUGGAGGGGGAUAACUACUGGAAACGGUAGCUAAUACCGCAUACCAUCGGAUGUGCCCAGAUGGGCUUAGCUAGUGGGUGGGGUAAAGGCUCACCUAGGCGUCGAUCCCUAGCUGGUCUGAGGGGAUGACCAGCCACACUGGAAAUGAGACCCUGUCCAGACUCCUACGGGAGGCAGCAGUUGGGAAUGUUGCACAAUGGGCGCAAGCCGGAUACAGCCAUUCCGCGUGUAUGAAGAAGGCCUUCGGGUUGUAAAGUACUUUCCGCGGGGAGGCGUUACCCGCAGAAGAAGCACCGGCUAACUCCGUGCCAGCAGCCGCGGUAAUUC
rnacentral:rRNA from 1 species